rnacentral:lncRNA from 1 species
AAAUUAAAAAAUAAAAAAAAAAAUAAUAAUAAUAACAAAAGCCCCUGUUAUUCAAACUCAAAAACAAAUCAAACAGUACAAUAAAUUCAAGCUAUUUUUUUCGCUUUUUUCUUUUUUCCUAAACUUUCAAAUUACUAAGGUUAGGAUCGACAAAUCGAUCCGCCGCAACAAUGAGAUUCACUUCUAGAAUUCUUCACGAGCGACAAAUAUGCAGAAACUUCGUCUUCGUAAUAAAACUCAAAAUCCAGAGAAUUCAAACUCCUUCAAGUGAAUCACACAUAAAUAUCACAAAUAUCUGCGUCGGAACGGUCGAGCGUGAGAAUCAGGCGAAUUCAAUUCCGGCGAAGCAAAUCCUCUCAAAUCAGAAAUAACGAGAAUCCAUAUCAACAGUAACUAGGGUUUGUGGUGAAUCAAACCGAGGAGAUAGAACAACAAGAUUUGUUCCUUGAGCAAUCAAAACCAACACGACGAGCCAGUGAAACUCCCUGAUCGACGGCGUUGGAGCCUUCAAACUAUAAAAGAAGAUUAAUUCACCAAAGCAAAUAACAACAAAACACAAGAGAAUCAAAGGGCCUUUGAAAUUAAAAAAUAAAAAAAAAAAUAAUAAUAAUAACAAAAGCCCCUGUUAUUCAAACUCAAAAACAAAUCAAACAGUACAAUAAAUUCAAGCUAUUUUUUUCGCUUUUUUCUUUUUUCCUAAACUUUCAAAUUACUAAGGUUAGGAUCGACAAAUCGAUCCGCCGCAACAAUGAGAUUCACUUCUAGAAUUCUUCACGAGCGACAAAUAUGCAGAAACUUCGUCUUCGUAAUAAAACUCAAAAUCCAGAGAAUUCAAACUCCUUCAAGUGAAUCACACAUAAAUAUCACAAAUAUCUGCGUCGGAACGGUCGAGCGUGAGAAUCAGGCGAAUUCAAUUCCGGCGAAGCAAAUCCUCUCAAAUCAGAAAUAACGAGAAUCCAUAUCAACAGUAACUAGGGUUUGUGGUGAAUCAAACCGAGGAGAUAGAACAACAAGAUUUGUUCCUUGAGCAAUCAAAACCAACACGACGAGCCAGUGAAACUCCCUGAUCGACGGCGUUGGAGCCUUCAAAUGAGAAUCGCGAACGUCUUCAUCUUCUUCUUCUUCUUCUUCUUCUUGCGUCGAAGUAACGGAAAUAUGAAUUGAUUUAGGAGAAAGGCGAAGCAGAUCGGAAAACGGUUGCGGAGAAAUGAAGAAGAAAAUGAUAGAGUGAUUUGAAUAAAUAGGGUUAGGGUUGGGAAAGUUAGAGAGAAGUAAGAAUAGAAACUACUAGAAAGGACGAAGAUGGAGCGAAAAGAGAGUGGGAAUUAUGGGACUCACGAGACAGAGGGUGUGGUGCGGUCUUCCGAUACAAGAACUGCUAUUAAAGCACAUUGCGUGGAAGUGCCUUAUUUGUACUCGCUGUUUUCUGCGCGUAAAACCACGUCUCCGCGUUACUCUUUUUUUGUGUGACGGAACGUCUUGGCGUUACUUGUCUUUCCGAAUUUUCCAUGGUUAACAUUUUUACUUGCUCUCCAUCCGCCUCAUUUUGUUCCACUUUGUCCUAUUUCAUGUUGGAG